AUCAAAGUGCUAAUCAGCUUGGUUGACAGCACCGGGGAUGGAAAGCACUAAUAUUCUAUUCAUUUGAAAAAUGUUCUUUCCUACUGUGAAACACAGACAUGCCUUGCAUUCACUGGUUUAAUGUGUUUGGAGGUUCAUAAAGUUGGGCUUCUCUCUUACGAGUUUUUCUUGGCAGAUGUCUAUCGAUCCACACCUUUUCAUUAAGCUGGCAGCCACUGUAAGAAACAUUUAAUCUCUGAGCAGUUCUGUUCUAGUGAGGAUGUGCUGGAGUACAGGUCCUUGUACAGGACCCUGUAACAAAAGAUCCUUGUAAGAGAGCUCACAGCUCAAAGCUCUAAUUUUGUAAUGAUCUGUCUGUCCAAAGGUCCCUGAGCCAGAGAAGAAUUUAUUAUGUUGGCCUCUCCCGAUAUGGAGGUGUCUGGAAUAUGGGAAAUGCUUCCUAAGUUAGAAGGAUUCAUCAGAAUCGGACUAAUAUAAAAUGGAGCUGGACAUGAUGGCAGCUU
rnacentral:lncRNA from 1 species